GGCGUGAGAAACAAGAGGCCGGGAGCGACGCCGGAAGCCAGGACUCGCUGUGCAGUGCUUCCUUCCUCAACGUUCCUUCUCCCUUCACCAUCCCACUCCACCUAACAAUUGGGAGAAGUUUUAGCCCAGCUAAGCGGCUGUGGAUGGGAGGAUCCUAAGAGCACCCUGGAAAUCCAAAACCAUCUCGUCUCCGCAGCGGGAGCCCAGGCUUCGUAUGACAGCGGCCAUUGCCGAUGGCCACUACGCGCGCCUACAAGCUUCAGGAGUUUGUCGCGCACACUUUGAAUGUCAAUUGUGCCAAGUUUGGGAGGCGAGCAUCAAGGAUCCUCAUCACUGGUGGGGAGGAUUUGAAGGUCAAUCUUUGGGCUAUAGGGAAACCCGGUGCCCUCCUGGUGUUUUUCAUUGUACAUUGCAGAGUCUAUCAGGCUUUACAAGUCCAGUUGAGUCAGUAAGCUUUGACUCUUCUGAAGUUACGAUAGGUGCUGGUGCAGCAAGUGGAACGAUAAAAAUAUGGAAUAUUGAGGAGGCGAAAGUUGUUCGAACUUUCACUGGACACAGAUCAAGCUGUGCAUCUCUUGAUUUCCAUCCUUUUGGAGAAUUCUUAGCCACUGGGUCUUCAGAUACAAACAUGAAAAUAUGGGAUACUCGAAAGAAGAGAUGCAUCCACACAUACAAGGGUCAUACCCAACGAAUUAAUGUGCUUAAAUUUACUCCUGAUGGCCGAUGGAUUGUUUCUGGUGGGGCUGAUAACUCAGUGAUGGUCUGGGAUUUGACGGCUGGAAAACUCAUGCAUGAUUUUUGUCUUCAUGAAGGUCCAGUCAACUGCUUAGAUGUUCACCCCUAUGAGUUUUUAUUGGCUACAGGUUCAGUUGAUAAGACUGUUAAAUUUUGGGACCUUGAAACUUUUGAGUUGAUCGGUUCUUCUGGACCCGAGAACAACCGAGAAUACUUUGAGCUGGCUAGUGCAAUCCGUUCUAUGAAGUUCAACAGUGAUGGUAAAACAAUUUUUUGUGGAUUGCAUGAAAGCUUAAAGGCUCUUUCCUGGGAACCCACCAUAUGUCAUGAUGUGAUUGAUGUAGGCUGGUCCACAUUAGCAGAUCUAACUGUUGACGAAGGGAAACUUCUUGGCUGCUCAUAUAACCAAAAUUGUGUCGGUGUGUGGGUUGUGGAUUUGAUGAGAAAUGAGCCUUAUGUUGAUAGUAGUGCUGGAUCACACUUAAAUGGAAGUAUAAAUAGGCCAAUUCAAUCAGAUGAUAGCAUGUCAUCAGUGUUUGGGAGGCUAUCGAUUUCCAGAAGCCCAGCCAAUGAAAUUGGAUCGGAUACUCUGCUUGGAUGCUCAAUGUCUGGUUCAAAAGAAAGUCCUGUCUCAACUUCUGCAUCAAUGAGGGGAUUGUCAAAGCCACCUGGAAAAGGGGACCUCCGGCUCUCAAGAUCUAUUUCUACACCUCUUCUUUCUCCUAGAGUUAGAUUGAACCCAAAUUUCAUUGACAGACAGAAGAAUCAGGCAGCUACUGCUGUACCAUUACCAGAACCAAUAGUCCGCUUUAAAGCGAAUCUCUCUUCAGAUGCUGGAAUGUUGUCUCGCAAGUCACAUGCAUCAGCAGCUCCCAUGUAUAGAUCAAGGUCCAAUAGUUCUCGGUAUGGUAUUAUGGAAUCAUCUUCCAUACCUGUUCUGGCCUUGAGGCAUAGCUCUAGAAAGGAUGCUGGUCCCGUUCACAGUGAAGCUGCCACAGGUGAGUUAGCAGAUAUUGAGCCUCAAAAUAUAGAAAAGGAAGGUUUAGUUGCCAAUCAUGGCAAAGAAGAUGGCAAGUUGGUACCUGUAAUUGCUUCAAGGAGCUCAAAGAUAGUCGAAGAAGUUGGCUAUAGAAGAAUCACCAAUGAUGUAGGAUGUAAGAGAGUAACCCUAGAAAGUGGUUUGAGAGUUAAUUCAGAUAUGGACUAUAGAAGCAGAGCUCCAGAAAGCCACGAGGUGCAGCAGCUUAUACAUCUGUCAGAACCUGCUGGUUUACAUGGGAAAUUUAUAAGAGAAUCUUCAGGUGCUGGGGACAAUAACUGUUCUGGUUCAAUAUGCACUGAGAGUGCUGAGUUUAAUGAAGUUGAUAUCUGGUACAGGGUAUCUGGUUUUGAUAAAUGGAACCCUGCUGCUGCAAGGAAUCCAGAAUUUGCCAGCAUCCACAGAAAUGAAGUGAUUGGAAUAAGACAGUUGAUGGAGUCAAGUGGAAAGUAUGUUGUUGACGAUCGACCUUCCUCUUCUAAUUACGAUAACAUCCAGUAUGUGACAACACUAUACAGCUCGAGGCUGCAUCCUUCACUUUCUGGAAAACUUAGUGCAUCUGCAAGUUAUGAAGAUGAUAUUUCUGGUCUAGUGGAAAACCAUCAAGAAUUCAUUCAUGUAAUGAAAUCUCGACUAACAAAACUAGAGGUGAUAUCUGCAGGUGGUUUACCGUUGCUGGCAAAGAAAUGAUAUAAAAGGAUCUAUUGAUGCUACAUGGAGAAUGUUGGAUUUUGCUGUCACUAAUGAUAUUGUUAAUGCUCUAAUGGAGAAUAGGAACUGUAUCACAUUAGAUGUUUGCGCUUCUCUCUUACGUCUUACCACCAGUCUUCUUGAAAGCACAUAUGACAGGCAUAUGAGCAUUGCCUUGAGGAUGAUUCUCAGUUUCGUGAAGAGCUUUGGUCCCACAAUUUCUUCAGCCUUGUUGGCUAUACCACCUGUUGGGGUAGACCUUGAAGCAGAGCAGAGGAUGGAGUGGUGCAAUCUAUGUUUCCAAGAACUGAAGAAUGUGAGCGUCAGCCUCAAGUUUCUGACAAGGCGGCAAGGCGAGGUUGGGAGAUUAGCUCAGGAGCUCAGCCUUUUUCUUCAGGAUCUCUUUCAAUUGUCAAGCGUGUAAACAGUGACCAUACCACGACGUGCAAAAUAUUCACGCACUCAAUUUCCUUUGGUCAUAACAGAUAUAGCGACAUAUAGUAGGAUUUACCUCUAGAAAGAAAGAAAUAUACAGAAACUAUAGGGUGAAGCUUACAGGGUAUUUUCUCCGAGCUAGUUUGGGAGCAUCAUUUUUUUCAUAGAAUUCCUAUUUUUCUAAGGUCUCGUUUGUUUCCUUUCAUUUUAAGGAAUUAGAAUCUUACUAAUAUAAUAUGCUAUUUUUUUUAGAAUAUGACAUUUCACUACUUUUCAAAGUUAUCAUAUAAGCUUAUCUUAAA